rnacentral:lncRNA from 1 species
AAGUUAUCAUCUCUUCUGGUGGAAUUUGCUAUCAAUUAGGUUGAGUGGUUUGUGUUUUUUGUAUGUGUAUUUGUUUGGGAUGGACCAGUUAGUGUACGUUGAAAUUGUUAUUAAGUUAAAUCUAUCAAUGAGCUAGUUUUGACCUUUUCGGAGAAUUUAUUAACAAAAACAGCCAAUUUGAUUUGGUAAUAUCAGAUUUCAAGACCGCUUUAUGUUUCUCAUUUGAUUCGUACGAAUAAGUAUUGUUGUUUGUCGAGAAUGGGAAUUUCAGUAUGGCGUUUACCAUCUAUUUUUUCCUGGUAUCAACUUUCCACGCAUCUAGUUUUUCCUUGAUUAAAGUUAUCAUCUCUUCUGGUGGAAUUUGCUAUCAAUUAGGUUGAGUGGUUUGUGUUUUUUGUAUGUGUAUUUGUUUGGGAUGGACCGGUUAGUGUACGUUGAAAUUGUUAUUAAGUUAAAUCUAUCAAUGAGCUAGUUUUGACCUUUUCGGAGAAUUUAUUAACAAAAACAGCCAAUUUGAUUUGGUAAUAUCAGAUUUCAAGACCGCUUUAUGUUUCUCAUUUGAUUCGUACGAAUAAGUAUUGUUGUUUGUCGAGAAUGGGAAUUUCAGUAUGGCGUUUACCAU